CGGCAACAGCUCAAAUUUGAAAUCUGGCGCAAGCCCGAGUUGUAAUUUGUAGAGGAUGCUUCUGGGCAGCGGCCGUUCUAAGUUCCUUGGAACAGGACGUCAUAGAGGGUGAGAAUCCCGUAUGUGACCGGCGCGCACCCUCCACGUAGCUCCUUCGACGAGUCGAGUUGUUUGGGAAUGCAGCUCUAAAUGGGUGGUAAAUUCCAUCUAAAGCUAAAUAUUGGCCAGAGACCGAUAGCGCACAAGUAGAGUGAUCGAAAGAUGAAAAGCACUUUGGAAAGAGAGUUAAAAAGCACGUGAAAUUGUUGAAAGGGAAGCGCUUACAACCAGACUCCGCGGCGGUGUUCCGCCGGUCUUCUGACCGGUCUACUCGCCGCCGUGGGGCCAACAUCGUCUGGGGCCGCCGGAUAAGACCGUAGGAAUGUAGCUCAUUGAGUGUUAUAGCCUGCGGUGAUGCGGCGCGUCCCGGGCGAGGUCCGCGCUUCGGCAAGGAUGUUGGCGUAAUGGUUGUCAGCGGCCCGUCUUGAAACACGGACCAAGGAGUCUAACAUCUAUGCGAGUGUUCGGGUGUCAAACCCCUACGCGUAAUGAAAGUGAACGGAGGUGGGAAGCUUCGGCUGCACCAUCGACCGAUCCUGAUGUCCUCGGAUGGAUUUGAGUAAGAGCAUAGCUGUUGGGACCCGAAAGAUGGUGAACUAUGCCUGAAUAGGGUGAAGCCAGAGGAAACUCUGG
rnacentral:rRNA from 1 species